UCGGCCUCUAUCUCUGAGCUCUAUUGCCAUUUGCCACGUAUUCUCCCGAGUGCAGAGCAUAUGCAGAGUUCAUAUGCUAUUCGGAACGAGAAAACGCGGAAAUGUCAGACUUGCUAACUGGUUGUAGUUAUCUACGUGCCGCGUACAUGGUUAGCAAGUGGGUAAAUGUCCGAGUUUCCUAGCUCCGACUAGCACUUGAAAGCGGCAAUAGGUACAAGGGGCGGAUUGCGUAGCAGAGCAACACGAGCCUGUCAGAACCGGAGGAGAACAUACGGGCAAAAUCUUAAGAGCAUACAAGUUCAAGGGAGGGAUUGUUUUAGUUUCCCCUGUGAAAACAAAACAUUGAAACGUGGAUAUUGUUGAUUAAGUAGGUGCGUGGUGUUGGCGAGCAAGUGGACCACCAAUGACUGCGCCUUCAGAACUGUAGAGGCAGUAACUGUCACUGCAUCUGCAGGACUUGUCUGAGAGACUUGGCUGACCCUACGGAGUGUUGCAGUGUGCCUGCCCAGGGAGGGCGUCACCAUGAGACAGCUGAAGGGGAAGCCCAAGAAGGAGACAUCCAGGGACAAGAAGGAGCGUAAGGCGGCCAUGCAGGAGGCCCGGUCGCAGGUGGCCACAGUGGUUCUACCCACGCUGGCUGUGGUGGUGCUGCUCAUCGUAGUCUUUGUUUACGUAGCCACCAUGCCCAGGGCCUUAGAGUAGUGCCAGGUUCCACAUACCUCCCCUUGGCCCUAACCCCUUGAUGUUAGCAUGUCUGUCGGGUCUUAAUAGGUAUAAGCAGUGUCAGCGUUCUCCAACCCUGUUCCUGGAGAGCUACCUUGCUGUAGGUCUUCACUCCAACCCUAGUUGUAACUAACCUGAUUCAGCCUAUCAACUAGCUAAUUAUUAGAAUCAGGUGUGCUAGAUUAGGGUUGGCGCGAAAAACUACCGGAAGGUAUCUCUCCAAGAACAGCGUUGGUGUGAACCUACAGGACGGUAGCUCUCCAGGAACAGCGUCGGAGAGCCCUGAGCAGUGUAGUACUACAGCGUCCACCAUAUUGCUCCUAUCUAAUAGAUCUCGGCCAAGGGGAAGGGUAGGGGUUGAAUCGGGUCCUGCUCUAGGAUGGCCGGGCCCCACUGGGGAUGUAUGCCUCAGCCCUGCCUCCAUGGACUGGGUCCCAAUUUACCCAGAUACUUGCUGCACCCAAAGGAUGCCCCCCCCCCCCCCCCCCCCCCCAGCUUAAUGUACUCAUCCCUCAUAUAGCUGUUUUUUUUACAUUUUAUUUUAUUUAACCUUUAUUUAACUAGGCAAGUUUUCUGGUCACUCAUUUAAUCCUCUCACCCACACUUCACUAUCUCCUUGUGUCCUCGGAGACCUGCCAUUUGUCUUAAUUGAAGCUUCCUGCCAAGUGCCAUUUUGCCAUGAGAGAAUUGAGCUGCAAAACAAUCAAAUUGAAUGGAGAAGUAUUACAGGAGUGGCUUCAUAGGUGCCUUUUUGAUGGGUGAAGAUGUGUGGCAACUAAGGCAACCAUGUUAGCUCAAGGGCAGAACUUUUAUCCGCUACAUCUCACUCUCAUUCUGUAACGACAGUGGGAUUCAUGUUGGCUCUGGUGCUGUCUUAGUUUCAAUUUCCUGUUUACCAAAGGACUUUCGGUACACACCUUGCCAAGUUUGAUCUGGGGAUGUUUUAUUCAGGUGAAAGGUUGAAGAAGCAUUUAAUUAAAGUGUGACAAAAUGAAUCUACUGGCAUUGUUUAGCAAUGUGUUUUUCAAGAUUAAGGUUACAUGACAAAGAGCAUUUGACAGUUUUUCAGGCCAGCAGUCCAAGCUAUGUCUAGAAUGUAUACAUCCAAAAAUGUGCGAUUACAAAAAAAAGAACAUUUUCACAUGCCAGCAAUUGGUCCUGUCUGUUCGAAUAGUUGAAAGCAACUCAGGAUUUUGUCCUGAUUGAAUGUGGUGUUUUUGUACUAGACAGAUUGUGAAUAUGUCACACAGGAGAACAUAAUAUAUUAAUGUACAAUCACAGCGCUACACACUUUGUACCUUUUUUAAGUUAUUGACAACUUUGACUUUUAGGUCGCUCAAUAUGACAUCUGUGCAGAUGUGAAAAUAUGUGCCUUAUAACAUUUGACAAUUCCUCUUUUUCAGUUAAUAAAGAACUGAAAACUGUU